UGAGGCUGCUGCCAGUGAUCAAAGCCUCCAACAAAGCUCUGCUGAGUGUCCCUGAUCUCUCUGAAAGAGGGUAUGAAGCUCUGUCCUCAGUUCUCAGCUCCCAGUCUUCUACACUGAGAGAGCUGGACUUAAGUAACAACAACCUGCAGGAUCCAGCAGUGGAGUUUCUUUCUGCAGGACUGAGAAGUCCACACUGUAAACUGAAUACUCUGAGACUGAGUCACUGUAAGCUCUCAGAGAGAGGCUAUGAAGCGCUGUCCUCAGCUCUCAGCUCCCAGUCCU